rnacentral:rRNA from 1 species
GACGAACGCUGGCGGCGUGCCUAAUACAUGCAAGUCGAACGCAGUGGGGACGGGUGAGUAACCCGUGGGUAACCUCCCAUCAGAGGGGAUAACACUUGGAAACAGGUGCUAAACCGAUACUGAUGGAUGGACCCUCGGUGCAUUAGCUAGUUGGUGAGGGAAUGGCUCACCAAGGCCACGAUGCAUAGCAGAUCUGAGAGGGUGAUCGGCCACACUGGGACUGAGACACGGCCCAGACGCCUACGGGAGGCAGCAGUAGGGAAUAUUCGGCAAUGGACGAAAGUCUGACCGAGCAACGCCGCGUGAGUGAAGAAGGUCUUAGGAUCGUAAAACUCUGUUGUGAGAGAAGCGGUAUCUAACCAGAAAGCCACGGCUAACUACGUGCCAGCAGCCGCGGUAAUAC